GUCUGUAAAGGAAAAGAUGAGAUGGAACCCUGCACUAAAGAAAACCAGAAAGAAGAGCAACUGGAAAGCUGCAGCCAUGGCAGCAGGUUAACUGCAGAAUGUUAAACUAGGCACUCACCAAGCUACAGAUAGAAAAGCCAAAGGACCCUUUAGUCAAAGACUAGAACAAGAAGUGCCAGCCGGCCUCAUUUUGCUGGAAGGUUUAAGCGGGUAAAGAAGGAAUGAGGAAGAAGAAUUGCAGGGUGAUGAAUUUCUCUUUGUAUUAAACAGAAAAAAGAGAACAAACCAAAAUCAAUUCAAGUCUUGAUUUGACCUCCUUUAGCCUAUUCCAAUCGAUUUUUUCCUGUCUUAGAGGCGACUCUAAUAGCCAAGCAUCACCACUAAAGUCGCUAUUAGCAAACCCGCCACCAUUAUUAUUAAUUAUUAUCAUCUAAUCUCUUCUUCUCUUUCAUGUGCUUCCUUCUCACGCCUCAUUUAUAAUCAUUAUAACAAAAUUUGUACGUUUUACAGUUCCCUCCGCCCGCCUAACAACAACAAUAAUCUUUGCUUUGUAAGUAAACCACAGAGCAUCCUUUAGAACCAGCCAAUGAGAG
rnacentral:misc_RNA from 1 species